rnacentral:rRNA from 1 species
CAGUCGCCGCGGUAAUACAGAGGGUGCAAGCGUUAAUCGGAAUUACUGGGCGUAAAGCGCGCGUAGGUGGUUUGUUAAGUUGGAUGUGAAAGCCCCGGGCUCAACCUGGGAACUGCAUCCAAAACUGGCAAGCUAGAGUACGGUAGAGGGUGGUGGAAUUUCCUGUGUAGCGGUGAAAUGCGUAGUUAUAGGAAGGAACACCAGUGGCGAAGGCGACCACCUGGACUGAUACUGACACUGAGGUGCGAAAGCGUGGGGAGCAAACAGGAUUAGAUACCCCCGUAGUCCCUGUCUCUUAUAC